CUUCAUUAUUGGCCUUGCUCAACUGCGAAUCCAGAAAACACGCUUUGAAGUGUGCCUCUGCCAAACAUCUGCUGGAAGAGGGCAUGGAAAGAGUGAGCCCCGUUCGGUUGGCGUUCUUGCAAACGCUCACGGCAUGACUUUGCUGCUGCAAAGAACCAAAACACCAGAACCAC
rnacentral:RNase_MRP_RNA from 1 species